rnacentral:rRNA from 1 species
UACGUAGGGAGCAAGCGUUGUCCGGAAUCAUUGGGCGUAAAGCGCGCGUAGGUGGCUUCGUAAGUCCGUUGUGAAAGUCAAAGGCUCAACCUUUGAAAGCCGAUGGAUACUGUGAAGCUAGAGUACGGAAGAGGCGAGUGGAAUUCCUGGUGUAGCGGUGGAAUGCGCAGAUAUCAGGAGGAACACCUGUGGUGUAGACAGCUUACUGGACCAUAACUGACGCUGAGGCACGAAAGCGUGGGUAGCAAACAGG